AUCAGCAGAAACUUGUAUUAGAUUAAACGAAUGGAUGUAUUGCAAUACAUAACAUUAAAAUAGAAAGAAUGCCACUCGAUGGCUUAAAUUUGGGAAGGUCUGAGAUACUGAAUUAUCCCUUGGUGGGAAAUCCUCGAGAGAGGGUGCGCUGGUACCAGAAAUAGUCCUCGAACGUGCAAAUAAACCAAAGACAUCCAUCCUCAGAAAAUGGAAGAGGUUGACGGUUGCCGUUCAUAGGUUGGAAUUCUGGCGUGGUAAAGAAAUCAAUGAAGUUCGAUAUACGAGGUGGAUCAAAGAUCCAUAACUUAAUUCAUGACUACUCUCUGCUGAA
rnacentral:RNase_P_RNA from 2 species